CUCUGUAAUUGCUCACUCUUUGUCUCUCAGCGCAGCACUGAUGGGUUCUGGAAAUCAGUGGCCAGGCACGUUCCAAGGGAGCCCAGCGACAUGCGCAUCCUGAACCCCUACUUCAUUCAGGAGGCCUCCUUCAAGCUAAUUGGCUUACCUCGCAACAAUGGACAGAUGGGUAGAGGGAAUAUCCCAACCCUGGGGACAGUUGCCAUAACGAUGGCCCUUCAUAACUGUGAUGAAGUGGCUGUGGCUGGAUUUGGCUACAACAUGAGCACCCCUCAUGCCCCUCUGCACUAUUAUGAGAAGAUCCGGAUGUCAGCUAUUAAAGAGGUCAGAGCUGCUUGGCCCCGCCCACUGGCAUGUAUAAUUGAGACAGUGAGGAAAUUCACUAAUUUCUACAGUCCUGUAUUAGCACACAUAGACUGAUCCUUUUUAAUGUCCUGGACUCACAACAUAUCUAAAGAGAAGGAGUUCUUGAUGAAGCUGGUGAAGUCUGGUGUUAUCCAGGACUGGACCAAUGGGAUCUGUGGUGCAGGAUGCUGAUGGUCUGCUCUCAGUUUCAUGGCUCCUGGAUGCAGCACUGUGCUCGCCUCCAUCUGCUUUAGCCCCUGAAGAGGGAAGCAUACAGCUCUGUAGGCCAUGUUUCUAGAAUAGAGCAGCUGUCACACACUGUGGUCUGUGCAGACUGAGUAUAUGAGGCUUACUGACCUGGACACAUUGUCCCAGUGUUGCAUAUUGACUUGUUAUAAUCAGUUUGCCUCUGUAUUGGAACGAAGUAUUUAGCUUGUCCUAGUUUGUGUAUAUUUACAUGGAUUUGGAACCCUGGCUCAGGGGUACGUCAGGGGAUUAAACCAGAACCUAGAUCAGGCCGCCCUACUGCUAGAACUGCAGCAGGCUGGAGAGAGGAGGAGAGGAUGAAGAUGUUGGGUUUAAACAUUGAGCCUGUGCCAAGAAUACCUCUACAAGUGUCCUUCUGUGCACACAUCUGAAUGUAAUCUCCAUCAAACAUAGUCAAUUGUUUAUAUCUUCCAGUUUCUGUGUUAAACAGGGUGCACACUCCAUAAUACAUAACUCAGCCGUCCUGGAGCAGCCUCUGAUAUCAGACGGUAAACCCUCCUUUCAUCAUGACAAAAUGGCAAUCAUCGGAGCUGGUUUAGUUGAGUGGGUCAGAGUCAAUAUGAAGCUAGAAAGCUGGGGAACACAAGGUAACAAGAGCUCCUCAGCAGCAACAUGAAAUUCACAAUCCAGAUCACCACACUGAUUCCUCAGAUGCAGCAGAGUCACAUUACGUUUGUUGUCAUGAAGCAGCAGGAAACUGACCUCUCAAGAAAUGUCCACUGGAUGUGGAGCUACAUUUGGCUUCCAAUGCAGCUGGAGCAACGCACGUCUGAAGCAGUUCAUGUUCUUUAAUGAUGCAUUUCAUUUCUUAUUUUCUCAGCCUCUGUGUACAAACGGCUACAAACGGUUUUUCUUGUUUGUUUAUGUUUAGUUACUAGUUAUUUUAACAAAAAAUUCAGAUUUUGGGACACAAAACAUAAAAAUGUGAGGACAGCUGAAAUGAUUAGUUGGUUAAGCAAUUGACAGAAUAUAAAUUUUCGUAAUUGUCAUUUUUCAUGCAAAAACAUUUCCUGGUUCCCACUUCACAAAUGUUAGAAUUUUCUGCUUUUCCUUAUUUUAAUUUAGUUUUCAUCAUGCUGAGGUUUGGACUGUUGGUUGGACACAACAAGCACUGUGAAGCUGUCACUUUGGACUCUGGGUAACUCACACCGCAUUUCUCACUGUUUUCAGAGUCUUUACAAUGCAAGCAAUGAAUCGAAUAAUGGGGAAAAUUAUCAGACAGAUUGAUUCAGAAUGAAAGUAAUCAUUAGCUGCAGUCCGAUACUAAAUAGUUCAGAAUGAGCUUCAGCUCAACACCUAAAGCAGCAACAUCCUGCUUUACAUUAAUGCAUGAGAAAUAAUAAUCUGAUAGAAAUAUAACAGGGACAUUAUACUGCUUUUAAGACUGUAGUAAUGUUUCUAGAUUUUCCUCUUUUAAUUAAUUAAACAUGUCAAUGCAAAACUUGUAACAGAGUAUUUUUACAUUGUGGUAUUAGUACUUAAAAUUCAAAGAUCUCAAUACAUCAUCAACCACACAGAGUCUUAAAAGUCCAUUUUUUAAUGUGUGACCUGUGUCUCAGGUCACUGUUGUGUAGGUCAGACUAGACAGGGACAUAUUGUGUUCCCCAGCUUUCUAGAAACAGUAUAGGCUCUUACACAGGAGUGUGCUCUGUAUUGGAAAGGUCCACUUCGAAAGGCAUAUCUUUGAUUUUACUUUAAACAAUCCGUUUUCAUUAUUUGUUAUCAGCCUGUGUUGUCACUCCACUGAACAGUAGCUUUAUGUGCCCAUCCUACUCAAAAGAAUACGAGCAUCUCCUUGUUUCACUCUUAUUACACUGAGAAUGUUGACAAAUGGAGAGCAUGUUUACAACACCCCAAACAUUUGUAAAUCCGAGCUGUUUUUCUUUCUGUUAGACAAAUCAAAUCCAUUGCUUAAUGACUGAUAGCUGAACCAUAUCAGUGAAGUAAAACAAUCAAUUUUAGUUUAUUUCAAUCAGUUUCAUACAUUGUAUGUUCACACUGUUAACUAAAUAAGAUUGAUUACUGAAGUGACUGCAGGAAAGCCAUUUCAUGAGAGAUCUGAUCUAUGUUUUAGGUGGUUCCUCAGCUUUAAAUGAACUGUGCAGCCACUACCCUGUCUGUAGCCAUAGUACCAUGUAAGCCAAUCGUGAGUACAGUCAUAUGCUCAGCACUCAGCCAAUAACAUGAGAGUUAAUGAUGGUUUUAAGUUUCUGCUGAAGUUGACUGUUGACUGUUUUCAUGGUGACUUCAGCCAAGAUUAAUAAAACAACCCCCCUGGCUGGGCAGAGGACAUUUCAUGCUAUGUAGUGUGUGACAGGCAUUUGCCUCACAACAUCUUGACAAAGACUUGUGUGGCAGAUUUUUUUUCUGUCUCACAUUUUUUUGUCUUCUAUCAAACUUUAAUCAGCCAUUUUAUGAGUGGGUGCCUCUUGCUGCCUAAAAUGUAAUUUAUGUGUAUCAAAUGAAUGAUUUUGUGAUUUUGCUGAUGCUGGUUAAUCCCCGAGUCCCCCUUCUCUUAAGAUGUUCUGUUAAACACAGGCUUUAUGAAUCUAUCUCACUUUAUUUACCAAGAUCAAGUGUAUUGUGAAAUCUGUGUGUGUGUGUUUGUGUUGCUUUAUAUACUCCGCCCUUCAUGGUGUGUGCUCCUCUCACUGUAGGUGUUUGUGGACUUGAUGCCGGUCAAAUGUUCAAGCCAAAGUAUUCAUAUAUUUAUUGUUGGCUGUGCACAAGAACACGUCAAAAAAUAAAGAUAUAGAAAUGCUGUA